rnacentral:rRNA from 1 species
GGUGACCUGCGGAAGGAUCAUUACCGAGUGAGGGCCCUCUGGGUCCAACCUCCCACCCAUGUUUAUUGUACCUUGUUGCUUCGGCGGGCCCGCCUCACGGCCGCCGGGGGGCUUCUGCCCUCUGGCCCGCGCCCGCCGAAGACACCAUUGAACACUGUCUGAAGAUUGCAGUCUGAGCAAUUAGCUAAAUAAGUUAAAACUUUCAACAACGGAUCUCUUGGUUCCGGCAUCGAUGAAGAACGCAGCGAAAUGCGAUACGUAAUGUGAAUUGCAGAAUUCAGUGAAUCAUCGAGUCUUUGAACGCACAUUGCGCCCCUUGGUAUUCCGGGGGGCAUGCCUGUCCGAGCGUCAUUGCUGCCCUCAAGCACGGCUUGUGUGUUGGGCCCCGUCCUCCUUCCCGGGGGACGGGCCCGAAAGGCAGCGGCGGCACCGCGUCCGGUCCUCGAGCGUAUGGGGCUUUGUCACCCGCUCUUGUAGGCCCGGCCGGCGCUUGCCGACAACCAUCAAUCUUUUUUCAGGUUGACCUCGGAUCAGGUAGGGAUACCCGCUGAACUUAAGCAUAUCAAUAAGCGGAGGAAAAGAAACCAACAGGGAUUGCCUCAGUAACGGCGAGUGAAGCGGCAAGAGCUCAAAUUUGAAAGCUGGCCCCCUCGGGGUCCGCAUUGUAAUUUGCAGAGGAUGCUUCGGGAGUGGCCCCCAUCUAAGUGCUCUGGAACGGGCCGUCAUAGAGGGUGAGAAUCCCGUAUGGGGAUGGGGUGUCCGCGACCAUGUGAAGCUCCUUC